rnacentral:rRNA from 1 species
UACGUAGGUGGCAAGCGUUGUCCGGAUUUACUGGGCGUAAAGAGCGCGCAGGCGGUCGGAUCAGUCGAAUGUGAAAGCCCCCGGCUCAACUGGGGAGGGUCAUUCGAUACUGUCCGACUCGAAGGCAGGAGAGGGAAGCGGAAUUCCCGGUGUAGUGGUGAAAUGCGUAGAUAUCGGGAGGAACACCAGUGGCGAAGGCGGGUCUCUGGGCAUCUCCUGACGCUGAGGCGCGAAAGCGUGGGGAGCAAACGGG